GCUUGAAGCUUCUGACCCGAAACGGAGUCGCCGACCCGAGAAAGAAACCCGACCAAAGUGGCGUCUUCCGGCCACCGAUCGACGACUGACGACCACCAUCUUCUUCGCCUCGCCGUCGCCAACAGCCUCCUAUCCUUGGAUCGUCCAUGCAACGAUCGUGAACGGAGAGUCGAAGGCGAGAAGCAGCGCCUGAUCCGCCGGUUCUGUGGUGUUUUCCGGUGACUCCGACCACCGAUCGACUUGCAUGAGAGCUUGUGAAUUGAGGAAAAAGAAGAGCAAGGAGAGGAAUUCUGGUUUACCGUGUUCUUCCAUGGAGAAGCUUUUCUGCUGAAUUGGGGCUUCUGUUAUUAAGUAGAGUUUAUAUCAAGGUGGGUAGGUCCUCUUUGAAGAUCUGUGAACCAAACUGUGUGAAAUGGGUGAAUUUGGUUGCACUAGUUUUCUGUACGUUUUGUAUUGGUAAUGAUCAAGUCAUGAUUAUAUCCUGCUGGGUGAGACAAAUGAUUAGAAACUUGA